GACGAACGCUGGCGGCGUGCUUAACACAUGCAAGUCGAACGGAAAGGCCCUGCUUUUGUGGGGUGCUCGAGUGGCGAACGGGUGAGUAACACGUGAGUAACCUGCCCUUGACUUUGGGAUAACUUCAGGAAACUGGGGCUAAUACCGGAUAGGAGCUCCUGCUGCAUGGUGGGGGUUGGAAAGUUUCGGCGGUUGGGGAUGGACUCGCGGCUUAUCAGCUUGUUGGUGGGGUAGUGGCUUACCAAGGCUUUGACGGGUAGCCGGCCUGAGAGGGUGACCGGCCACAUUGGGACUGAGAUACGGCCCAGACUACUACGGGAGGCAGCAGUGGGGAAUAUUGCACAAUGGGCGGAAGCCUGAUGAAGAAACGCCGCGUGCGGGAUGACGGCCUUCGGGUUGUAAACCGAUUUAGACUGUGACGAAGCGUGAGUGACGGUAAUGGGUAAAGAAGCACCGGCUAACUACGUG
rnacentral:rRNA from 1 species